rnacentral:rRNA from 1 species
UGAUCUCCAGCUUGCUGGGGGGAUUAGUGGCGAACGGGUGAGUAACACGUGAGUAACCUGCCCUUGACUCUGGGAUAAGCCUGGGAAACUGGGUCUAAUACUGGAUACGACCUUCCCACGCAUGUGGUGUUGGUGGAAAGCUUUUGUGGUUUUGGAUGGACUCGCGGCCUAUCAGCUUGUUGGUGGGGUAAUGGCCUACCAAGGCGACGACGGGUAGCCGGCCUGAGAGGGUGGACGGCCACACUGGGACUGAGACACGGCCCAGACUCCUACGGGAGGCAGCAGUGGGGAAUAUUGCACAAUGGGCGCAAGCCUGAUGCAGCGACGCCGCGUGAGGGAUGAAGGCCUUCGGGUUGUAAACCUCUUUCAGUAGGGAAGAAGCGAAAGUGACGGUACCUGCAGAAGAAGCGCCGGCUAACUACGUGCCAGCAGCCGCGGUAAUACGUAGGGCGCAAGCGUUAUCCGGAAUUAUUGGGCGUAAAGAGCUCGUAGGCGGUUUGUCGCGUCUGCCGUGAAAGUCCGGGGCUUAACUCCGGAUCUGCGGUGGGUACGGGCAGACUUGAGUGAUGUAGGGGAGACUGGAAUUCCUGGUGUAGCGGUGAAAUGCGCAGAUAUCAGGAGGAACACCGAUGGCGAAGGCAGGUCUCUGGGCAUUAACUGACGCUGAGGAGCGAAAGCAUGGGGAGCGAACAGGAUUAGAUACCCUGGUAGUCCAUGCCGUAAACGUUGGGCACUAGGUGUGGGGGACAUUCCACGUUUU